CACUAAUACACACACACACACACACACACACACACACACACACACACACACACACACACACACACACACACACACACACACACACUGUCUAUGGGAAUCUCACACAUGGAGCUGCCCCUUGGGGUAAAAAUCCAAAUGUUGAGCCUGCUGCUCAAAUACGACAACACAUUUAAAUUCUCUAUAAACUGCCGGCUGCACGGGAGCUGAAAGACAUCAGGGAGUAAGAUCUGUUCAUUACAAAUUCAUAAUUGGGGAGUGUUACCUUCGUAGCUGAGAACACUUCUCAGAGCAGGAGAUGGUUAAACUAAACAACAUCAGCCCGGAUGUCACAGCGUGAUAGAUCCCAUCUGGAGUGACUCUGCACUAUAAACUGUCUGACGGAUGGCUGACGUCUGGAGCGUACCCUUGACCGAGACAUGGAGUCAGAAACAACCCGCUGACCUUUCAAAAUGAAAACAACCUGUUUGCACACCAGCCAGUAACAUUCCUGCAUUAAAACAUCCAACUUUUUUCCUCCAGCUUGAGGAAAUCAGUGUUGGUGUGAAAUCUUCAAGUCUGUCCUCCUGAACUUCAUGUGCUGAUUUUUCUUUUUUUUUUUCAUUCAGCUUGCUGGCUCUGUGUAGCUUUCUCUUAUUAACUAUUUCCUCUUGCACAUACAUCUUAAAAGAAUUAACUAGAAUACCAGUAUGAAAUUAAUGUCUCACUAGAUCCUGUUUCUUUGUAUAAAAUCCUUGCUUUUUCCGAGUCCUGCAGCCACUCUAAUAAUAUAUGCAUUUGUCUUUAGUCAACAUGCCUGUUUAACUAAGACUUUCAUGAGGGUAAUAAGGUUCUGAUGCAGGAAGCAUGGGCCAAAAGGGUGUAUUAAAUAUGAAAAUUGCUCCGA